rnacentral:rRNA from 1 species
UGUGGCACCACCUGAUCCCAUUCCGAACUCAGAAGUGAAACACAGUAUCGCCGAUGGUAGUUUGGGGUCUCCCCAUGCGAGAGUAGGUCAUUUCCAGGC